UUUGAAUAUUGUGGGAUUAAUUACAAAUUAACUCUGCUUCAAUUAAAAUUAGACAUAUAAAUGGAAUGAUUGCUCCUCCAUCCUACAUUGAUACAAUCUUAAGGUUAAUUAAGUCAGAUCCACACAUGGUAUAUAUAUAACUUGAUUGUUGUGAACCGACAGAAUCACAUGGUCAUCCUACAGGAGAAAUUAUACCCGCCAUUAAUAUGAAGAAUUACGUUGUUAUUGGCGCAUUUCUUUCACUUUGUAUAGUAAUACAAGGUUUUCGACUGUAUGGGGGACCAGGAGAUAUGUUUGCUCAAACUAUACCUUUUAACAGAAAAAUCAAAAGUGCAGACCAAAUAAAGUUCAAUCCAUUCCUACAGAGUCAACAGGAUAACUACAUUGACAACUACAUGCAUAAGUUGGUCUACUUAUUGGCAGACAUCGGAAAGAAACGAUAACAUUAUUAUAUGAUAUAAACAAUAAAUUGUUAACACAAAUUGUUGUCUGU